UGAAUAUGAUGAAAUGCGGUGCGAAUAA
rnacentral:sRNA from 1 species